GAUGAACGCUGGCGGCGUGCCUAAUACAUGCAAGUCGAGCGAACAGACGAGGAGCUUGCUCCUCUGACGUUAGCGGCGGACGGGUGAGUAACACGUGGAUAACCUACCUAUAAGACUGGGAUAACUUCGGGAAACCGGAGCUAAUACCGGAUAAUAUAGUGAACCGCAUGGUUCAAUAGUGAAAGACGGUUUUGCUGUCACUUAUAGAUGGAUCCGCGCCGCAUUAGCUAGUUGGUAAGGUAACGGCUUACCAAGGCGACGAUGCGUAGCCGACCUGAGAGGGUGACCGGCCAAACUGGAACUGAGACACGGUCCAGACUCCUACGGGAGGCAGCAGUAGGGAAUCUUGCGCAAUGGGCGAAAGCCUGACCGAGCAACGCCGCGGGAGUGAUGAAGGUCUUCGGAUCGUAAACCUCUGUUAUUAGGGAAGAACAAAUGUGUAAGUCACUAUGCACGUAUUGACGGUACCGAAUCAGAAAGCCACGGCUAACUACGU
rnacentral:rRNA from 1 species